GACGAACGCUGGCGGCGUGCUUAACACAUGCAAGUCGAACGGAGCGAAUGAAAGCUUGCUUUUAUAAGCUUAGUGGCAAACGGGUGAGUAACACGUAGACAACCUGCCGACAGGAUGGGGACAACAUUCCGAAAGGAAUGCUAAUACCGAAUGAAGUGCAGGGGAGGCAUCUCCCCUGCAUGAAAGAUGGCCUCUAUAUAUAUGCUAUCACCUGUUGAUGGGUCUGCGUCUGAUUAGCUGGUAGGUGAGGUAACGGCUCACCUAGGCGACGAUCAGUAGCCGGUCUGAGAGGAUGAACGGCCACAUUGGGACUGAGACACGGCCCAGACUCCUACGGGAGGCAGCAGUGGGGAAUCUUCCGCAAUGGGCGCAAGCCUGACGGAGCAACGCCGCGUGAGUGAAGAAGGUCUUCGGAUCGUAAAGCUCUGUUGAUGGGGACGAACGUGCCUAAUGCGAAUAGUUUUAGGCA
rnacentral:rRNA from 1 species